UACGAAGGGGGCUAGCGUUGCUCGGAAUCACUGGGCGUAAAGCGCACGUAGGCGGAUAGCUAAGUCAGGGGUGAAAUCCCGGAGCUCAACUCCGGAACUGCCUUUGAUACUGGCGAUCUUGAGUCCGGGAGAGGUGAGUGGAACUGCGAGUGUAGAGGUGAAAUUCGUAGAUAUUCGCAAGAACACCAGUGGCGAAGGCGGCUCACUGGCCCGGUACUGACGCUGAGGUGCGAAAGCGGGGGGAGCAAACAGG
rnacentral:rRNA from 1 species